GGGAAGGAACCAUAGCUCAAUGGUAAAGUAUAUAAUUUGCAUGCAGGAGACCCCAGGUUCAAUUCCUGGCAUGCCCA